AUUGAACGCUGGCGGCAGGCCUAACACAUGCAAGUCGAACGAGUGGCGGACGGGUGAGUAAUGUCUGGGAAACUGCCUGAUGGAGGGGGAUAACUACGGGAAAAGGUAGCUAAUACCGCAUACCAUCGGAGGUGACCAGAUGGGAUUAGCUAGUAGGUGGGGUAAAGGCUCACCUAGGCGAAGAUCCCUAGCUGGUCUGAGAGGAUGACCAGCAACACUGGAACUGAGACACGGUCCAGACUCCUCCGGUAGGCAGCAGUGGGGAAUAUUGCACAAUGGGCGCAAGCCUGAUGCAGCCAUGCCGCGUGUAUGAAGAAGGCCUUCGGGUUGUAAAGUACUUUCAGCGAGGAGGCGUUACUCGCAGAAGAAGCACCGGCUAACUCCGUGCCAGCAGCCGCGGUAAUAC
rnacentral:rRNA from 1 species